rnacentral:lncRNA from 1 species
AUGGCAUGAAUUAUGCCUAGGUAAGAGGGAACUAUUAGACGCAUUGGCUGGCGUAAUAAGAUCUGAUCUCUCACAAAUAGGUUUCACAAUUGCUACUGUCACAACAGAGGAGCUCGUUGUGUUUGGGAAUGCUGAGAGUGAUCGAACGCAGGCAGAAUAAGUUGAUCGAAUGUGAAAAGCAUCCACACUAUGUUGCUACCAUUAGUAGUUAAUAUGAAGGUGUAUAAGAUGCUG